UUUCAUGUUAAGAAAAUAUCUUAAUAUCUUAGCAAUUUUUCUCGCCGAUCACCUGUCGAAAUUGGUGUUCCUGUAUGUGUCAAUUUUUCCAUCUAAUUUUUGGUCCUGUGCCCCUGCCCGUUCACUGUCUUUGACUUGUUUGUCAUAAAUUUCUUCUUUUCAAUCGAAACGAAGCAUGAUUCUAUUCCGUUUCUCUGCUUUCCUUCCAAUUUUUGCUCAACCAGAUUCGUGAGAUAAUCGUCGACACACUCCAGAACAUUGUCAGAAACGCAACCACUGACCAGGAAUUAAUAGACAGAGUAAACCAAGCCAAAUAUUCGCCUCUUUUCACUUCAUGCUACGAGGAAGCUAUCGACCAUUUGCACUACACAUGUGUCGAAUUUCAAAACCAUGAAUUCCUCUUAACCCAACUUGGUCUAUUCGUCAACCUAUGUAACGAAAAUGUACCAGUCGGUUCCAUUACAUCAGCAAUCGACAUGGUCUGUGGCAGACGACACUAUAUUUGAAGCGUUGUUAUAUAUAAAAAGAUAUCUUCCUUCACGUCUCCGUUGAGAUUGAGGAGAAUCAAGAUGAUAAUGGCGUGUUUAUUCAGUGGAAAAGAAAGGAUAUCUUUUGUGAAAAGAACCACAAUUUCAUUGGUGAAGGAAAUAUACGGCAGCAACAUUAUUUACGAUAAUAAAAUUAAAAUAUAUAAAAAAGUAAAA